UGGCAAACUCGCCUGUGAAGAGGCUUC
rnacentral:piRNA from 1 species